UGGGUAACCUGCCUCAAAGAGGGGAAUAGCCUCCCGAAAGGGAGAUUAAUACCGCAUAAUAUGUUUUAGUCGCAUGACUUAAACAUCAAAGGAUUUUCUUUUAGAAAUUCCACUUUGAGAUGGACCCGCGGCGCAUUAGCUAGUUGGUGAGGUAACGGCUCACCAAGGCAACGAUGCGUAGCCGACCUGAGAGGGUNAUCGGCCACAUUGGAACUGAGACACGGUCCAGCUCCGUAGG
rnacentral:rRNA from 1 species